AAAUGUGGUGGGAUGACUGGAGUGCUGCAGUGGGUGGCUACAAGCUCUUCAGAAGGGACAGGUGAGGAAGAGGAGAGGCUGUGGGUGGCUCUGUACACUGGGGAGGGUUCUGGCUGUGCAGAGCCCAGGGGCAGUGGGGAUAAGGCUGAGUGCCUGUGGGUGACAGUCAGAGGGAUGGCAAACCAGGCAGAGAUCCUGCUGGGAGUCUGUCACAGACCACCCAGCCAGGAUGAAGUGAAAUCUUCUAUCAGUGGAUGUUUCAUGAUGACUACCCCUUGUUCUUGUGGGAGACUUUAACUUGCCAAAAGCCUGCUGGAAACUCAACACAGUGAGAGUAUGGAUCCUGGAGAGUGUGGAAGGCAACUUCCAUUCACAGCUGAUAGGGGAGCCUACCAGGGCAUGCCCUGCCAGACCUGCUGCUCCCAAACAGAGGAGGGAAGUGGAAGAUGUGGUGGUCAGAGGCUACAGCAACUACAAAGUUAAAAUCUGUUCUUGGUGAGAAAUCUCCAAGAACAGCAGUUUGAGCUAACAAAACAAUCUGCACAUGGAAA